GAUGAACGCUGGCGGCGUGCCUAAUACAUGCAAGUCGAGCGAACAGACGAGGAGCUUGCUCCUCUGACGUUAGCGGCGGACGGGUGAGUAACAUGUGGAUAACCUACCUAUAAGACUGGGAUAACUUCGGGAAACCGGAGCUAAUACCGGAUAAUAUAUUGAACCGCAUGGUUCAAUAGUGAAAGACGGUUUUGCUGUCACUUAUAGAUGGAUCCGCGCCGCAUUAGCUAGUUGGUAAGGUAACGGCUUACCAAGGCAACGAUGCGUAGCCGACCUGAGAGGGUGAUCGGCCACACUGGGACUGAGACACGGUCCAGACUCCUACGGGAGGCAGCAGUAGGGAAUCUUCCGCAAUGGGCGAAAGCCUGACGGAGCAACGCCGCGUGAGUGAUGAAGGUCUUCGGAUCGUAAAACUCUGUUAUUAGGGAAGAACAAAUGUGUAAGUAACUAUGCACGUCUUGACGGUACCUAAUCAGAAAGCCACGGCUAACUACGUG
rnacentral:rRNA from 1 species